AGGACGAACGCUGGCGGCGUGCUUAACACAUGCAAGUCGAGCGGUAAAGGCCCUUCGGGGUACUCGAGCGGCGAACGGGUGAGUAACACGUGAGUAAUCUGCCCCUAGCUCUGGGAUAGCUCCGGGAAACCGGGAUUAAUACCGGAUACGACCACUUUAGACAUCUGUUGUGGUGGAAAGAAUUUUGGCUAGGGAUGAGCUCGCGGCCUAUCAGCUUGUUGGUGGGGUAACGGCCUACCAAGGCGACGACGGGUA
rnacentral:rRNA from 1 species